GCUCUAAAUGAGGAGUCGAUUCCCCUUGAUGGAAUCGAUUCCAGCCUGUGGAAUCAACUCUCGAUUCCCAAAUGCACCGGAAUCGAUUCUUUUUGGAAUUCUCUACUUGCAGUCGGAUGACAGUUCAGAAUACGCCCCUGUAUCUGAAUAGUUUGAGGAGAUGGAUGGAGAAUUAUUUACCGUUUCAGAGCAGGAUUGUGCCAGCGCAUCUGAAUCUGGCUGGAGGAAUGAGACGGGAAAAAGGAAAGGAAAACAAGGGGAGAAAAGAAAGAUGAAUCAACAAAAUAGUAGCAAGAAGAAAAUAGCCAGAAGUAAAAACUCUAGGCUUCCAGACCUGAAGAAGAUGAAUGCUGAAUCAGUUAUGAAGCAGAUUAAGCCAGAAUGUGAACUGAAGGAAAUCUGCUCAGAAACUGAUUUUAAUGAAGAUGACAGAAAGAGAAUGAAAGAACAAAGGAAAAAGCAAAGAUGCUUCAAGCAGAGUAACAACAAGAGGCCAUUUUCACACCAAAUGUCCAGUGUAAACAGGCAGACCAAGAAUAAAAAUGACACGGGGGUAGACCUAACAAAA